GACGAACGCUGGCGGCGUGCUUAACACAUGCAAGUCGAACGGAAAGGCCCUGCUUUUGUGGGGUGCUCGAGUGGCGAACGGGUGAGUAACACGUGAGUAACCUGCCCUUGACUUUGGGAUAACUUCAGGAAACUGGGGCUAAUACCGGAUAGGAGCUCCUGCUGCAUGGUGGGGGUUGGAAAGUUUCGGCGGUUGGGGAUGGACUCGCGGCUUAUCAGCUUGUUGGUGGGGUAGUGGCUUACCAAGGGUUUGACGGGUAGCCGGCCUGAGAGGGUGACCGGCCACAUUGGGACUAAGAUACGGCCCAGACUCCUACGGGAGGCAGCAGUGGGGAAUAUUGCAGAAUGGGCGGAAGCCUGAUGCAGCAACGCCGCGUGCGGGAUGACGGCCUUCGGGUUGUAAACCGCUUUCGCCUGUGACGAAGCGUGAGUGACGGUAAUGGGUAAAGAAGCACCGGCUAACUACGUG
rnacentral:rRNA from 1 species